CGUGCUGCUACUUAUGACGGCCGCUGCAGCUGCUGUGUAUGGUUCCACCGCUGUCCGAAAACUUGGCGAUAUGCCGGAAAAUCUAUAUGCCAAGGAACAAAAGGCAUUUAAGCACUGGUCGGCACAUUUAAGUGGAUAUACAGGUUUCAGCACGGCCUCCAGUUCACCAAAAGAAAACACUGCCUCGUGGGUCUGCACCGUCGCCCCAAAAAACAGGAAUGGCGUGUUGCGGCUUGCCUUUUAUAGGCCGGAUGUCGUAUGCCUGCGGAUUUUUACGUCCUUGCGCAUCCGUUCAUCACGGCCUUGACGUUUCCCCACUUUGAGGUGCCAUCGGGACACAACCCUGCGCCUGCGUGGCUGCAGUUGCCACCAUGGUGCCUCGCUCGGUACCGCUAGAUGGCGCUGCAGUACCUUUAUAAAUUCUUGGCGCCUUCCGUAGCGCUGCCACCUUUUAUUCUUCGUGACCAGCCCGAUGCAACACCACCGCAAAUAUCCAAGUGGGCGGACGCUCGUGCCCCGAAGUGAUGUUUGCGCGCAUCAAACGGCUGGUGUUGUUGGAGUCCUCUGCUUCGAGUCCGGCGUUGCCUCGGAUGACUACUACCGCGGCGCCCAACGUAGGCCACACCCACUCUUGAUCUUCAGGACAGGCGUCACACUCGGAUAUCCUUUGCGUGGAAUACCCCCAGCAAGUUCCCUUGCAAAUCUUCCAGCUCGUAUGCGUUGGUGCCGAUGGAUUUCCUUACGCGAGCUUUUAGAAAUUUCCGCGCGAAUUUCGCAUUGAACGCGCGGCUGAAAUCACUCAAUGCAAAGUUUCGCCGGUAUACCUCCUGACCGGGCGCUAGUCUUAGCCGCCGCGCACGCCGGUUAUAGCGAACGCUACUGCGCUCAUACGCCGCAUGCAAUUGUGCCUGGAUUUUCUGUUGCAACAGGGAUUGCCUGUCUGCUGUACACAACGCUGCGAAUUCGUGCUCGUCUAAGGACCUUAAUUUCCUCGCCAAUCGGUAC